rnacentral:rRNA from 1 species
AGGGUGUAAACGCUGCAGACUUGGUGUUGGAGGCCCUUUGGGGGCAUUCAGUGCCGGAGAGAAGUUGUUAAGUCUGCUACUUGGGGAGUACGUCCGCAAGGAUGAAACUUAAAGGAAUUGGCGGGGGGAGCACCGCAACGGGUGGAGCCUGCGGUUUAAUUGGACUCAACGCCGGGAAGCUCACCGGAUAAGACAGCGGAAUGAUUGCCGGGCUGAAGACUCUGCAUGACUAGCUGAGAGGUGGUGCAUGGCGUAGACGUCU